rnacentral:rRNA from 1 species
GAGGUUGUGCCCGUGAGGCGUGGCUUCCGGAGCUAACGCGUUAAACCGACCGCCUGGGGAGUACGGCCGCAAGGUUAAAACUCAAAUGAAUUGACGGGGGCCCGCACAAGCGGUGGAGCAUGUAGUUUAAUUCGAUGCAACGCGAAGAACCUUACCUACUCUUGACAUCCAGAGAACUUAGCAGAGAUGCUUUGGUGCCUUCGGGAACUCUGAGACAGGUGCUGCAUGGCUGUCGUCAGCUCGUGUUGUGAAAUGUUGGGUUAAGUCCCGCAACGAGCGCAACCCUUAUCCUUUGUUGCCAGCGAUUCGGUCGGGAACUCAAAGGAGACUGCCGGUGAUAAACCGGAGGAAGGUGGGGAUGACGUCAAGUCAUCAUGGCCCUUACGAGUAGGGCUACACACGUGCUACAAUGGCGUAUACAAAGAGAAGCGACCUCGCGAGAGCAAGCGGAACUCAUAAAGUACGUCGUAGUCCGGAUUGGAGUCUGCAACUCGACUCCAUGAAGUCGGAAUCGCUAGUAAUCGUAGACCAGAAUGCUACGGUGAAUACGUUCCCGGGCCUUGUACACACCGCCCGUCACACCAUGGGAGUGGGUUGCAAAAGAAGUAGGUAGCUUAACCUUCGGGAGGGCGCUUACCACUUUGUGAUUCAUGACUGGGGUG